rnacentral:rRNA from 1 species
UUGUAGUCAUAUGCUUGUCUCAAAGAUUAAGCCAUGCAUGUCUAAGUAUGAGCAACUUUGUACUGUGAAACUGCGAAUGGCUCAUUAAAUCAGUUAUAGUUUAUUUGAUGGUUUUUGCUACAUGGAUAACUGUGGUAAUUCUAGAGCUAAUACAUGCAUUCAAGCCCCGACUUCUGGAAGGGGUGUAUUUAUUAGAUAAAAAUCAACUUUGUUGGUGAAUCAUAAUAACUUCUCGGACCGCAUGGCCUCGUGCUGGCGGUGCUUCAUUCAAAUAUCUGCCCUAUCAACUGUCGAUGGUAGGAUAGAGGCCUACCAUGGUUGCAACGGGUAACGGGGAAUAAGGGUUCGAUUCCGGAGAGGGAGCCUGAGAAACGGCUACCACAUCUAAGGAAGGCAGCAGGCACGAAAAUUACCCAAUCCCAAUUCGGGGAGGUAGUGACAAGAAAUAACAAUACGGGGUCUUUAUAGGUCUCGCAAUUGGAAUGAGUACAAUUUAAAUCCUUUAACGAGUACCAAUUG